AGAACGAACGCUGGCGGCGUGGAUAAGACAUGCAAGUCGAACGGGAUUUGUUUUGUAGCAAUACAAGACAAGUUCAGUGGCGUAAGGGUGCGUAACACGUGGGCAAUCUGCCAAUUGGAAGUGGGGGAUAGCUCGCCGAAAGGCGAAUUAAUACCGCAUGUGGUUAGUGAAGGAUUCUUCACGACACCAAAGCCGGGGAUCGCAGCAAUGCGACCUGGCGCUUCUUGAUGAGCCCGCGGCCUAUCAGCUUGUUGGUGCGGGUAACGGCCCACCAAGGCGAUGACGGGUAGCUGGUCUGAGAGGACGACCAGCCACACUGGAACUGAGACACGGUCCAGACACCUACGGGUGCAGCAGUCGAGAAUUUUCUCAAUGGGGCAACCCUGAAGGAGCGACGCCGCGUGGAGGAUGAAGGUCUUCGGAUUGUAAACUCCUGUCAUUAGGAACAAGGUGCCGUGGUAACUGCACGUAUUGAUAGUACUGAAGAGGAAGGACG
rnacentral:rRNA from 1 species